GGGAAAAAAAUAUUCCUUUUUUGGGAGGCGGGGGUUUACAGGGAUGGAACUCGGGACCUUGCGCUUUCGCUUUCGAGGUAGGCGCCAGAACCACUGAGCUAAAUCCCUGGCCCCAAUAUUCCAGUUUUUAAAAGAUUUCUCGUUAUUUGAUGUUGCAACUGAAGUUGCUCUCUGAAAUUUUACGUUUCUAGUAACCCCAGUCUCAAACAGGCAACCUUAACUUCAAUACUUAGAACAGCUAAUUAAAUCUAGGCCCCAAAGUGGGUGAAUGGUGGGACAUUCUUGGGGACAGCAGAAAUCAAUCAGGGGCGCAGGAGGGGGCAGAUGUGGAAGGCAAAGUUUGAAGGUUAGUGGAAACCCGGAUGGGUGGCAGUAAGAAAGCUACUGUUAAUUUCAGUGGGCCUCAAACCUUACAAUGAAACAAGGUCCUUUGUCCAGGAAAGAAAAUUUUGCAGAAAUUCUGGUCCCCCUCUGUUUUGUUUUGACACAGGGUCUCACUAAGUUGGAGAGCUAGCCUCAGCCUCCUAGGUAGCUAGGAUUACACCCUGUAUUGGUUGUCUUGCUGCUAUCACAAAUUUUAUCGUCCAGAUCUGGAAGUCAGAAGUCCAAAAUAGGUCUCACUGAGCUAAAAUCAAGGUAUGAGUAGGGCUGUGUUCUGUCUGGGGCUCCAGGGGAGAAUUCGUUUUUCCAAUUUCCAGACCCAUUUGCAUUCCUUGGUGUGGACUUUCUCUCCAUCUUCAGAACACAGCACUCUAGUUUCUGGUCACAUCUCUUUUUCCUCUGACCUUCCCACUUACAGUACCCUUGUGAUUAUAUUGGGCCCACCUGGAUUAUUCAGUAUAAUUUACCUGUUUUAAGAUCCUUAAACAAAUCUACAGAAUCCCUUUUACCAUAUAAGAUAAGAUAUACAUAGGUGCUGGAGAUUAGGACAUGUACAUUUUUGGGGUGACCAUUUAGCUUACUUAUCACAACACCCUUUCCAGUCUCUUGCCUGACAUGAGGUGAAGGGCCUUGGGAGCUAGCGAGCUAUGUAUUCCUUGGCCAUCUCAAAUCAUUACCUGACAUGGGCUGAUUGCUUACUGUGUGCUAAGCACAUGUUUACUGUUCAGCCUUUGUUAUUUUCUGACUCAUCCUCAUCCUGAAGACCAGAUGUGUUAACAGGGCCAGGGACCGGUUUCACAAAGAGGAACGGUACAGCUUCUUCCAGCAGAGAAUUCUCCUGGUCUGAUACUCAAAAGAUCAGGAACACUUUGUAGACACAUCCAUUCCCUCAAAAAUAAGUUUAUGGUAAAAUGGGCAUAGUGGAACAUGCCUAUAAUCCAGCACUUUAGGAGGCUGAGGCAGGAGUUUGAGCCCAGCCUGUUACUUAGCAAAACCCUGUCUCAAAAUUUUAAAAAGAGGACUGACGGGCCGGGAUUUAACUCAGUGUUUCCACUGCCUGCCUCGCAAGCGCAAGUUCUUGAGUUCGAUCCCCGGUACCAAAAAAAUUAAAAAAUAAAAAUAAAAAGAGGACUGGUGGGCCAGGGAUUUAGCUCAGUGGUUCUGCUGCCUGCUUUGCAAGCCCAAAGUCCUGAGUUCGAUCCCCGGUACCAAAAAAAAAAAAAAAGAGGACUGGAGUUAUACUAAAAGCCUUGGGUUCAAUCCCCAGUACCCACCAAAAAAAAUCUUUGAUAAUUAGAUAUUACAAAUUGCCAUUGAUAAAGUGCUUAGAGAAGGAAUAAAGUAAAGGUUAACCACAGUCUAAAACUCAGAUUGAAAAUUAUGCUUCCAGAAUCUUCUAACUCCAGGCCAGAAACCUGGUAAAUCAAGCAGUUGAAUAGAGACGAUCACAGAUUCCAGAAAUAUUUCCGAACAUCAGUGCUCACUUUCUAAUAAAUAAAAAACAAGAGAGUGAUAAAAGGGGAGGGUAAUCACUAAUAAAAGUAAUAAAAGGUGUUAAAUGAAUGGAUUACUUACAGUAUGAAAACAAGUAACAGAUUUGUAUCUCACAUCAUAUACUGCAGUGCAUCCCAGAAAAGUAAAAGAGCUAAAUAUUGUAAAGCAAAACAAACAUUAAAACUUGAACAUCAGAAACCAGUCACGGUGGAACAUACCUGUAAUCUCAGCACUCAGAGCCUGGGAAAUUUAGCAAAGCC
ensembl:lncRNA